GUACACGCUGUGACUAGCAUAUCAAUAAGCGGAGGAAAAGAAACUAACAAGGAUUCCCCUAGUAACGGCGAGUGAAGCGGGAAGAGCUCAAAUUUGAAAUCUUGAAGGGUUUCCCUUUACGAAUUAUAGUUUAAAGAAGUGUUUUCUGUUGAGGUUUUGGUAAAAGUUCUUUGGAAUAGGACAUCAUAGAGGGUGAGAAUCCCGUAUUUGACCUUUACUUUCAACUUUGUGAUACACUUUCAAAGAGUCGGAUUGUUUGGGAAUGCAGUCCAAAAUGGGUGGUAAAUUUCAUCUAAAGCUAAAUAUUGGCGAGAGACCGAUAGCGAACAAGUACCGUGAGGGAAAGAUGAAAAGAACUUUGAAAAGAGAGUUAAACAGUACGUGAAAUUGUCAAAAGGGAAGCGUUUGACACCAGUGUUGUUUUUCUGAAAAUCAAUUAAAGAACUGUUUAUGCUAAGUUGUUUAGACUUUAUCAGCUAUCUGUUUAGUUUUGAGCUUUUCUUUAAUGCACUUUUCAGUUAACAAGUCAACAUCAAUUUCUUUUGCUGUAAAAAAGCUUGAGGAAGGUGGCUUGAGAUUCGUCUUAAGUGUUUAUAGCCUCUUGCCUAUGCAGUCGGAGAGAUUGAGGUCUGCAGCGUAGAUCCUUCGGGGCUAAAUGCAUUUGUGCUAAGUUAUAGCAUUUUAUAGACAACUUGUUGACUAUGAUUUGUCUAGUAGCUUACUCGCUUAUGUUAUUUUACCUACGCUUAGGAUGUUGAUAUGCAUGACUGAUAU
rnacentral:rRNA from 1 species